ACCUAAAGAACCAAUAUAAAACAAAAUAUUUCUUUGACAAGAAGGGGGGAUUGGCCGCUGCAGAACAAAACUGAGUUCGUGUAAACUCAAGAAAAAUUAGUUCGUUUUCCAAAUUCGGGUCAAAUAAAUACUUCCAAUCGCUUCCUUAACGAUUACUGAGCGAAAUUGAAUUAUCGGCAUCGAUCGCAACACACUCAUAUGUACCCGGACAUUCACGUUUUGUGAUUUUAAGUUUUCGAUUCGAAUUCCAUCAUGAAGGCAUCAUAAAUCGAGUUUGAAUUCGUAUUUGUGUUUAUAAUUAUGUUUACAAUCUCUCUGUGACAUUUGAUUGAAGUUUUAAUGCAGGUACAGAUAUUCACCAUGGCUAGGUUUUCUGGUUCAUGAUUUGGGGCUCCAUAGAUAGAGGCAAAAUUGGUCCAAACUGAUAGUCCCAUUGGAUUCGGAGGACGAUUUCUGGUCGAUUACUGUUUUUAUUUGGAAUUUAUUUUGCUUGUAGAUGGAGAUUGGACAUGGCAGGUCUAUGGUUAGCUUCCUAAACCGUUGGCAAAGGGUCUGCAAUUUUUUUCCCCAAAAGAAUCGCGAAGAGGAAGAAGCCAGCGCUUAUUUUUUUUUAAUUUGGAAAUUCGUACUUGUUUAUUUAUCUACAUAUGGUUUGCAUAGGUUAACACAUAAGGCGUGAAGCAGGAAUGGCAAGGAGUUUUGGUGGUAAUCUCAGAGAUGGGGGUUCGAACCCCUGCAGCCACAAUUUAAAAUUUUGGUAUUCUUUCUCACGUGGAUCGCGUGCGCAUUGCUUCAAGAAGGAUCAUCAUGCACCCCCAUCACUUGGCCACUGGAUCACCAUCAUCUUAGAUCCGACGCACCAGAACGAAGGCAUAUACUAUAGGCUCCCAGCUUGCCCACACAUAAUCCAGGCCAGGAUUCACUCCGGCUGACCUUGGCAAGACAUAUUUUAUGACCCGAACCAUUCAGCAUGGCUUCUCAAGCAAAACAAGUUUUCAAUGUGACAGACUCUUCUGACAUAUCGGGGAAAUGGUCAGUUGUUCUCCAAGGAAAACACAUUCCCCUUAGUGACAAAAGUCUUGAUAUUUCGUCCACUCCUUCUUAUACAACACAAGUUCCUACCUCAUUGAUGAAGUUGAUGGAGAUGGUGUGCAUGCUAUUCGAGUCGUUCAUGAAGAAGGCAUAUGGGAAAAUUAACAAGUCUUUAUAGUCAAGACACCGAGAGACAAGAUACAAAGAGACAAGAAACCAAAACACCAAGAUACAAUUAUGUUAUGUAAUGAGUAAAUUGUAUAAGUUGUUUUGUGACAUUUUAGUUUUGAAGUUAUA